rnacentral:rRNA from 1 species
GACGAACCGUGCGAACGUUAUUCGGAAUCACUGGGCUUAAAGCGCGUGUAGGCGGGAGGGCACGUCCGUCGCUGAAAUCCCCCGGCUCAACCGGGGAACGGGCGCGGAUACGACCUUCCUCGAGGGGCGUAGGGGGACCUGGAACUUCCGGUGGAGCGGUGAAAUGCGUUGAGAUCGGAAGGAACGCCCGUGGCGAAAGCGAGGUCCUGGACCCUUUCUGACGCUGAGACGCGAAAGCCAGGGGAGCGAACGGG